rnacentral:rRNA from 1 species
CAAACCAAAGCUGGCGACCGGCGGCACGGGUGAGUAACACGUAUCCAACCUGCCUCAUACUCGGGGAUAGCCUUUCGAAAGAAAGAUUAAUAUCCGAUAGCAUAUAUUUCCCGCAUGGGUUUUAUAUUAAAGAAAUUCGGUAUGAGAUGGGGAUGCGUUCCAUUAGUUUGUUGGGGGGGUAACGGCCCACCAAGACUACGAUGGAUAGGGGUUCUGAGAGGAAGGUCCCCCACAUUGGAACUGAGACACGGUCCAA